GGAUUCCUGGUUGCCAGGCAGACAGGGGGACAGAUGAGGAGGCAAAGCUAAGCUAGGCCCAUUCAACACUCUGGAGGGAGGGAGGGAGAGAGAGAGAGAGAGAGAGCAAGGUGGCUUUCAGGACCAUGGACAGCACCCCUGCAGCUGAGACCAAGCAUCCAAGUUGUCUCAGCGAGGUGCUGGAGCAAACAGCAGAGCUUCGUAGCAGUAGCCAUUGUCUUCUGGCCAUGUUAAAGAGGUGCUGCCAUUGACUGCUUCAUGGCAAUGGGGUUCCCAGCUGCAGGGCACUCUCUGCUCAAGGCUCUCUUUACCCUCUUAGGAGUCUGUGGACCAACCACCAGAGCUUUGUGGCACAGGAGUCUUCUUGGGGCUCAAGAGGGCAGCUGAGGGCUCCAGCGCCCGCACAACCACACAGGCAGACCUGGGUGUGGGCUCACCUCCUCCUCAGAGCUGCGGUCGCCAGAGAACUCUGGUCUAGGGCCAGAACAUCUACCACAUUUGGAUGUAAGUGAAAUACUAAGCAUUACCAUCUAAAGAAGGAAGACCCUCCCCCACCCAAAAAAUAUAUACAGUGGUACCUCGGGUUAAGUACUUAAUUCGUUCCAGAGGUCUGUUCUUAACCUGAAACUGUUCUUAACCUGAAGCACCACUUUAGCUAAUGGGGCCUCCUGCUGCCGUUGCGCCGCCACUGCACGAUUUCUGUUCUCAUCCUGAAGCAAAGUUCUUAACCCGAGGUAAUAUUUCUGGGUUAGCAGAGUCUGUAACCUGAAGCGUAUGUAACCUGAAGCAUAUGUAACCUGAAGCGUAUGUAACCUGAGGUACCACUGUAUUAGACCAUUAAGACCAGAGUCUAAAAUUACCUAACUGUCACUGCUAACUUAACGUGCUCUCAUUUUCCAAUCCAUGAUGGAUGGAGCAGGGGUAGCAGGAAGAGAUCAUCUCAAAAGAGCAAGGAGGGAGGGUGCAAACCCCUCCCCUCUAAUCAAAGAACUUGUCACUGUCUCUUUGGUGGCAGCAUAUGCCACUAACAAUAACCGCGAUCCGAAGGCUUUUGAAAUCCAUUAUUAACGAGUAACAUUCGCCGCCAUCUCCCCCGCCAUUCUAACGAGCUUUCCCUUUUGGAUGUCAUCCGGGGCCGGCAUGGAUCCCCAAGCGGCAGGACAAGCUGUCAUCUCCGAUUUUCUUCCAAGGGGGCAAGUGGUUUCGGAGGAGGAGGAAAGAUGACCAGGUCUUCCUGACCUUUUCUCCUUCAAUUCCGCUCCUCUCCUUCUUCAGAGAGAGGAAACGGGGGCAGGGAGGGAACCCCAGCAAAUCACACUACGCAGAACUGACAAACUCAUCACCGUGAGGUGCUGUUACAUAUACAAUAGCCAUGUCACUCGGCAUCAGGAAGGAAGAGGUCCUGAUGGAAUUACAGCCCCAUCAUGGGUCUAAUCGGUCAGUAGAUUUAACUUUUUUUUUUCCUGGCAGCCUGGUGUCAAUAUAAGUUUUUGUAUCUCUCUGGGUCUCGGAGCAGCCCAAAGUGACUUCGGUUACAGCUGAAGCCACCCUUUUAUUUGUUAUUUCACAAAAUUUACAUUUCACUUGAUUUUAAAAGGAAACAUCUGAUCAGGUUUUCCAAUGCAUAAGAACAAAGCACAAGAAACUUAAAUGCCUUCCUAAUACAGAAUGGGUCUAAGGUUAUGGAUGAUGCAGACACUUCCAGGUAACGGAGAGAAGUAAGAAGUAUCAGGUUCUUUUUCAGCUCUACAGUUCUAUGUUUCUAAGUCCACUUAUAACGAAGGAGAGGAAGCACUAUGCAAUCCGGAUAUAAAUGUACUCAUUCUUUUCGUUGGUGAACGGCAGCACAAUUUCCAGGCUGGUUUGAACAACCAAUCCAUCUUCCCAGGGAACUCUGGGAAGUGUAGGGAAAUAGGGGCCUCCUAGCAGCUCCCUCAGCACACCUAACAAACUACAGUUCCCAGGAUCCCUUGGGGGACGCCAUGACAAUUAAAGCGGUACGAUACUGCAUUAAAUGUCAUGUGUAGGUGGGGCCUGAGAUCUUGCAUUAUCAGAAAGACUGGAGAGAUACAAAAGAUAAAAUAGCCAGGUCAAGGGGCAGCAGCUAUAGGGGGCUCUUGGGACCCAAGCACCCACAAAAUUUUUGUUGUGGGUGCUCAGCACCCACACCACAGGACCCCCAACGCAACUUCCAGUGCCUUGUAAAUCACUGGAAGUCACAUCUGAGGCCUUGCGAGACCUUGGAGAUUUUGUUCGAGGCCUUGCGAGACCUUGGAACCUGACUCCCGUUGCCACUGGGCACGCAUAACCUGGGGUCCAAGUCAGCGCCCCACGCCAAUGAACAAUGAGAAUCACCUAAUGCAAAGGUGAGCAGGUCAUUUAUUGCUAUUAUUAGUACUGGUGGUUUUUUUAUAAAAAAAAAUUCUUGUUACCAUCAGUACUACAGUGAUACCUCAGGUUACAGAUGCUUCAGGUUACAUACGCUUCAGGUUACAGACUCCGCUAACCCCGAAAUAGUACCUCCAGUUAAGAACUUUGCUUCAGGAUGAGAACAGAAAUCGUGUGGCGGUGGCACGGCGGCAGCAGGAGGCCCCAUUAGCUAAAGUGGUACCUCAGGUUAAGAACAGUUUCAGGUUAAGAACAGACCUCCAGAACGAAUUAAGUUCUUAACCCGAGGUACCACUGUAUUUUAGUAAUUUAAAGAGCACCAGACAUUUACUAAGCACUGAGCAAAGAUGAACGGAAAGCAAGACCUCAUCACCACAAUUAUUAUUAUGAAUGAUAUUUGUUAAGCACCCAAGAUUUACUAAGCAUUGGACAAAGAUGAAGGGAAACUCAGAGAGUGCCUGCCUGCAGGAUGACAAUCAAACAGACAUGAAACAAGAGGGGAAAGGAUGGGGGGGAGACCGGGGAGAAGCACACCCAGGUACCAAUCUUUAAAGUCACGCUGUUGUUGCUUUUAUGAUGACUGGCUUGAAUGGAAACCACUGAGGGAGGCAGCCCUGUGAAAUGUCUGUCAGACUCCAAAGGCCACACCCUUCACUGGCCUUUCUUCACACCCCCCUUGAGCAUUUUUGCCUGGCUGGAAUGUGCCCUUGAACUCAGAUCAUCCCUCUUGAUUGCCUGCCUGGAGGACAGAGAGAGAUGAGUUCAUACAAAGCUGCUGUACAAAGGGGCAAGUUUGUGUUUGCUGCUCCGCCCACUUUUGCCUCUGGCUCCACCCACCAUUGCUAUGUGGGCCCCGCCUCCAGAAAGGGAUUGUGGCCCUUGGGCUUUAAAAAAAAAUGCCCCCCACCUGACACAGGGUUUUAAAAAAUGUAUGUAUUUAUUUAUAAAACAUAUAUGUGCGCUGCUGCAUCAUUUAAAAAUAUCAAAGCAGUUUGCAGUGGUAUCGGUAUAUCAUAAAAAAGUGCACAUUUAAAACCAGGGACCAUCAACUAACUAUUGAGGAAAGACAGUUUAGUUCAAACCACUCAAAACAAUUCACUCUCUCUGGUACAACCUCUCUCAUUUCACGGUUCCUUUCUUGAGUCUCUGUCUCUCACACCUUUGUCUCUCUUCCUGACACCCCCUUUUCUCUCUCCCUCUCUCUCUCCCUGCGAAUUGGGGUGCCAGGAAAGGGGCAGGUAACUGUUGUCAGAAGCCGGAACAGAUCGCUUGAAGAAGACUUCAUUUCUCCCUCUCCUCCUCCUUCCAUCCGUUUUAGCUCACCGCCCCCCAUUCCCUCUCUUCCUAUUCUUCCUCCAGGCUUCCCACAUGCAGUCGGGCCACGGUUCACAUGUGGCACUUGGACCCAUGCAAAAGGAGGUGGCCAUUUCUUUCAGACAACUCCACGUGUUUCCCCAAAGGCUGUCCAGCAGCAGAAACAGAAUACGGUCAAAUCUCAGUGUUGAAAUGUUCAACAACCAAGGCGCAGCUUCCAAUUGGUUGCAAGAGCUUCCUGCUCUCAAGCAGAAACUACGUUGGACGUUCAGCUUCCGAAAAACAUUAAAACAUUUUUACUUCCAGGUUUUCGGCAUUCGGGAGCCAAAACGUUCCAAAAUGGAGCCGUUCGGGAACCAGGGUUUGACUGUACUAGGCUUUCUUUUCAGCCAAAACGUUCUGGCACCUCUCAGGUGGGUGCCAUUGCCAUCCAAAGAAAACAAGGGAGCAUUUCAUGAUGAGCUCCUCUUUUUCUAGAAAAAUAGCACUGAUUAGGCCACAUAGACUUUUGGUGAGAUUCAGCACGAAAACACUUACACUCUGUUUGUUUAUUUUGAAAACCUGAGCUUGGUCUUUUUAUUCAUCGGAGUGGGGAGAGGAAAGGAAAGGAAAUUAUGGUGAAAAUGAGAGGGGGGAGGUUGAGUUGGCUAGAGAGGUAUUUAGAGUCCCCACUGCCCUCCCCCAGGAGCUGAAGGACACCACGGGGUGAAAUUCAAAUAAACAAACUGAGGGGGAAGAGCCCGGGCGGAAAGGGCCCCGUCUGCCGAUUAUCAUCUGAAAAGAUUCUGUCGCCGCGUUCUCUCUCGUCCACCCCGGUGAUGAAAAUGAGAUUGUCUGAUGUGCUCGCCAGGACUGGAUUUACCUUUGCGAGGGUUUGCCCCCAAUCAGCAGAGAGGGGUCGUGCCACAAGCAUACUCAGAAAGAGAGAGAGAGAGAUGUCACCUCUCAGCUUCAUCAAACCGAUGCCAAUUUCAGCAAGGAGAUAUUAUGCAUUUCAAAGGGAAUAAGACCCCAAAAAGGGGGGGGGACCUCUCUCUCACCCCACGUGUGGCUCUUGUCACUGAUCUCUAUCGCUGCGUGGUAUACAUGGAAAACGUGUGUGUUUUGCCUGUAUCUCCACUCCAAGCAUGAGGGGGGCUUUGUUUGUUACAAGGGAUGCUCCUUAAAGAUGUACAACUUGUCACACUUCAUUGGCUGGUUUUUUUGCUUUUGCUUUUCAGGAUAUGAAGGGAUGCCUGGGAUAAAGGACUGUGUGUGUGUGUGUGAGAGAGAGAGAGAGAGAGAGAGAGAGAGAGAGAGAGAGGUGAAAGAUUUCUAAACACACUCCCUGGAAAGGAGGGGGAGAACCCUAAUAGUCUUCCUCUCCCAUGCGGGUUGCUCAUUAAAAAAAGAGAGAAAAGAAAUCUCCAUUUAAAUGCAAAUUCGAGUUUUAGCUGGGGACUUCCCCCAAAAGUAUCUCUGGAAACGGCUGGGGAAAUUGACUCGGAAAACUAAAAUGGCUGACGGCUGUGGAAAAGCGUUUGCCAUCCCAGACGUCUCUUCCGUGGCCACGUUGAGCUCCAGGCGAAUCCCAGGAUGCUGACAGUUGGAUGUGGCGUGAUGAGGAAGACCACCACCAUGUUUGUUUAUAGGCAGGCACUGGAUUUAUGUAUAAAAUGGGGGAAGGGUCGAGGGGGUUGCCUGAAUAGGGGCACAUGGAAGGAAAGAGCUGAACGUUUCCCUCACAACUUAACUUUCAUAACAGGUAGUGAGGAGGCUGCCUCGUACCGAGUCACAGCACGGAACCAUCUUGCUCAAAAUGGCCUCCACUCUGGUGCUGAGAACUGAGUCCUCCCCUUUCAGGAUAGUCCUUCUCCUGCCCUUCACCUGCAGAUCCUCAUCUGUCCAGUCCCAUCUUGUUUCUGGAUCACAGAAUUGUGACUGAAACUGGAGCAGGAAUGUUGAGAACUAGCGUGUGUGUUACAGGAUUUAUUAUUAUUAACUUUUGAACUGGC